rnacentral:tRNA from 1 species
GGUGGCUCAGUGGUAGAGUGCUUGCCUUGCACACAUGAGGUCCUGGGUUCAAUUCCUCAGCC